CGCGAAUGGCUCAUUACAACAGCUAUAAUUUAUUUGAUCUUGACACUAUCCUACUUGGAUAACUGUGGUAAUUCUAGAGCUAAUACAUGCAUUAAAGCUCUGACCUCACGGGAAGAGUGCACUUAUUAGAACAAAACCAAGCGGCUUCGGCUGUUUUCGGUUGACUCAUAGUAACUGAGCUGAUCGCAUGGUCUUGCACCGGCGACGUGUCUUUCAAGUAUCUGCCGUAUCAACUUUCGAUGGUAGUGUAUCUGACUACCAUGGUGAUCACGCGUAACGGAGAAUAAGGGUUCGACUCCGGAGAGUUCGCCUGAGAAAUCGCGAACACAUCUAAGGAAGGCAGCAGGCGCGAAAAUUACCCACUCUCAGCACGAGGAGGUAGUGACGAAAAGUAACGAGACCGUUCUCUUAUGAGGCCGGUCAUCGGAAUGGGUACAGUUUAAACCCUUUAACGAGUAUCUAUGAGAGGGCAAGGCUGGUGCCAGCAGCCGCGGUAAUUCCAGCU
rnacentral:rRNA from 1 species